rfam:Sordaria macrospora k-hell, WGS project CABT02000000 data, contig: 2.856
UGGCCCGUAGCUCAGUUGGUAGAGCUAACGGACUUUUAAUCUGUAGGUCUCGGGUUCGAAUCCCGACGGGCUCA